UACAACGAGCCAGUCACCGAGAGUGACUCACUACGCUGCUCUAGCCGCUGCAGCUCGAUAAAAGUCUUUUUCUUUGCCCUGCUCGUGCCGGAGGAAUUCGAGAGAGCCCCGGGGAGCAGAAAGAGAGGCGCUCAAGGAACGCCAACAGAAGCGGCCGCUUAUGAAUCAUCUGUGUACGCGGGCAAAAUGCUUCGGCGAGGGGACACACAGUACAGUCGGAGAACAAGAGGACUUUCGUUCGUCGCGACUGCCAACCUAACGGGAUUUCUAGUGCUCUUAAUGGCUCCCUGCUAACUCUUUGUUCCUGCGGUUGUAUAACUGAAUUUCGAGAUGGAAAUGGGAAAUUAGUACUAAUUGAGGAUUUUCGCUUUCGGAAGAAGGCUAUCGGCAGAGUCGAAACAUUGGUUAUUGGUUAUGCGACAAUGAUUCCCCCACCAGGAAUGUUACCAGUAAUGCCCACUCUUGGCAAUUUACUACACGUGUCUUUCCAAACCCAAUCACGAAUUAAAGUUCUAUCUUAUUAAAUCCAAA
rnacentral:lncRNA from 1 species